rnacentral:rRNA from 1 species
GAUGAACGCUAGCGGCAGGCCUAAUACAUGCAAGUCGGACGGGAUUUGGGAGCUUGCUCCUAAUGAGAGUGGCGCACGGGUGCGUAACACGUAUGUAACCUACCUUAAUCAGGGGGAUAGCCUCUCGAAAGAGAGAUUAACACCGCAUAAUAUAUUUUUAUGGCAUCGUAGAAAUAUAAAAAAUUCAUAGGAUUAAGAUGGGAAUUCGGAACAUUAGAUAGUUGGUAAGGUAACGGCUUACCAAGGCUACGAUGUUUAGGGGAUCUGAGAGGAUGACCCCCCACACUGGUACUGAGACACGGACCAGACUCCUACGGGAGGCAGCAGUAAGGAAUAUUGGUCAAUGGGCGCAAGCCUGAACCAGCCAUGCCGCGUGCAGGAAGACGGCCCUAUGGGUUGUAAACUGCUUUUGUACCGGAAUAAACCCUUUUACGUGUAGAAGGCUGAAUGUACGGUAAGAAUAAGGAUCGGCUAACUCCGUGCCAGCCGCCGCGGUAACAC